rnacentral:rRNA from 1 species
GACGAACGCUGGCGGCGUGCUUAACACAUGCAAGUCGAACGGAAAGGCCCUGCUUUUGUGGGGUUCUCGAUUGCCGCACGCGUGUGUAACACGUGAGUAACCUCCCCUUGACUUUCGGAUAACUUCAGGAAACUCGGGCUCUUACCCCAUAUUAGCUCCUGCUGCAUGUUGGUCGAUGGUAAGUUUCGGCGGUUGGGUCUGUACUCGCGGCUUAUCAGCUUGUUGGUGGGGUAGUGGCUUACCAAGGCUUUGACGGGUACCCGGCCUGAGAGGGUGACCGGCCACAUAGGGACUGAGAGAAGGCCGAGACUACGAAGGGAGGCAGUAGGGGGGAAUAUGGCAGAAUGGGCGGAAGCGUGAGGCAGAAACGCCGCGUGCGGGAUGACGGCCUUCGGGGGGUAAACCGAUUUCGAAGGUGACGAAGAGUGAGUGACGGUAAUGGGUAAAGAAGCACCGGCUAACUACGUG